rnacentral:rRNA from 1 species
UACGUAGGGUGCAAGCGUUAAUCGGAAUUACUGGGCGUAAAGCGUGCGCAGGCGGCUUUGCAAGUCAGAUGUGAAAUCCCCGGGCUUAACCUGGGAACUGCAUUUGUGACUGCAAGGCUGGAGUGCGGCAGAGGGGGAUGGAAUUCCGCGUGUAGCAGUGAAAUGCGUAGAUAUGCGGAGGAACACCGAUGGCGAAGGCAAUCCCCUGGGCCUGCACUGACGCUCAUGGACGACCGCGUGGGGAGCGAACCGG